GGAGUACUCCACACUGGCACUGGCUUCCUCCAGAGAAAGUGUCCAAAAAAGAGUAAGCCUAAUUUAUGUUAUGUAUUUGGAGGAGCAAUGGAUCGAUGGAUGUUUCAAAUAGGCACUUAAUGACCACCAUUUAGGAUCCUGGAAAAGACCGAGGCUGGCCAGAGUCUCUACCUCACAAGAGUUGUAUAUUAAAGAAGUUACAUACAAAUUCAUUAAUUCACCAAGAUUAAGAUGGAUGGGUUAGAAACUCUGAAGCUCAUCUCUUUGCCGUUUUAAAUCCGUCUGCAUAGAACAUCCCACCUCAGCUGCUAUCUGAUCUGUCUGGCUGCCAACCCUGAGCUGCCUGCAACUCUGCUACCUUGGAAGAUGUGAACCAGUGCAGUAACACAGAAGAAUUCACAGAGGGUUCCAAGACCAAUGUGAGCAAGAACCCGCAGAAUGGUGGUAAAAUGUUGUAUUGGAGACUUAAAAUGAGACACAAGCAAGUAAUUUCUGACCGAAUAUUUGUUUCAAUUUAGGGAAGUUAUAAGACUGCACAAUUAAAACAGAUUCAGCCCCAAGGACCAAAGCUUUGAAAGUGAAAGAGUGCACUAAAAAAGGUUUAGUGGGGGAUUGAGCCAGAUACCUGUGAAGAACAAAUUUAAAAACAUUUUAAACCCUUGGAGAGACUGAAAAUAUUGAACUUCCACUGAUAUAAGAACAAAUAAAAGAAGAGGAUUUUGUUUUAUCACCUGUACCAGUGGUGGCGAGCCUAUGGCAUGCGUGCCUCAGUAUGCACACAAAAUCUUCUGUCGGCAUGUGAGCCAAGUUGCCCCAGUAGCCAAGCACCAGAUAACAGUUGUUUUUUUCUCAAUUAAAACCUCAGUUUUCAGGUUUAAUUGCAG
ensembl:lncRNA